GGAGUUAGCCGGUGCUUCUUCUGUGAGUGAUGUCCUUCCUGCCGGCUAUUAACCCGCAGGCCUUCUUCCUCACUGAAAGUGCUUUACAACCCGAAGGCCUUCUUCACACACGCGGCAUGGCUGGAUCAGGGUUGCCCCCAUUGUCCAAUAUUCCCCACUGCUGCCUCCCGUAGGAGUCUGGGCCGUGUCUCAGUCCCAGUGUGGCUGAUCAUCCUCUCAGACCAGCUACGGAUCGUCGCCUUGGUGAGCCGUUACCUCACCAACCAGCUAAUCCGACAUAGGCUCAUCCGAUAGCGCGAGGCCCGAAGGUCCCCCGCUUUCCCCCGUAGGGCGUAUGCGGUAUUAGCCUGGGUUUCCCCAGGUUAUCCCCCACUACCGGGCAGAUUCCUAUGCAUUACUCACCCGUCCGCCGCUCGCCACCAGGGAGCAAGCUCCCCGUGCUGCCGCUCGACUUGCAUGUGUUAGGCCUGCCGCCAGCGUUCAAUCUGAGCCANAAUAACAACUCNCACUAGCGGCGUGUCGACGACGGCGCAG
rnacentral:rRNA from 1 species